rnacentral:rRNA from 1 species
UAUGGACAGAACUGUGGGGACGCAGAAGGAGAGCACGAGCCGGAAAUGGAAAAGCCGGUACAAGCGUAUAGCAGUCAUGCAGGCAAAACCGCAUGAAAAAUGUAAAGCGUUAUGUGGAUCGAACAUUAGUAGAGAAGCGUGUGAGCCAGCUGCCAAGAAAAGCCGCUAUUGUUUCAUAAGUACCCGUACCGUAAACCGACACAGGUGGAUGAGGAGAGAAUCCUAAGGCCGGCGGGAGAAGUGUUGUUAAGGAACUCGGCAAAAUGACUCCGUAACUUCGGGAGAAGGAGUGCCACAGAGAUGUGGCCGCAGAGAAAUGGCCCAAGCAACUGUUUAGCAAAAACACAGGUCUAUGCAAAACCGAAAGGUGAGGUAUAUGGGCUGACGCCUGCCCGGUGCUGGAAGGUUAAGAGGAGAGGUUAGAGCAAUCGAAGCUUUGAAUUUAAGCCCCAGUAAACGGCGGCCGUAACAAUAACGGUCCUAAGGUAGCGAAAUUCCUUGUCGGGUAAGUUCCGACCCGCACGAAAGGCGUAAUGAUUUGGGCACUGUCUCAACAACACACCCGGUGAAAUUGAAAUACCAGUGAAGAUGCUGGUUACCUGCGCCAGGACGGAAAGACCCCAUGGAGCUUUACUCCAGUUUGAUACUGGGAUUCGGUACUGUCUGUACAGGAUAGGUGGGAGGCUAGGAAAUGGUGACGCCAGUUGCCAUGGAGCCAACCUUGGGAUACCACCCUUACAGUACUGGGUUUCUAACCUGCAGCCGUAACCCGGCUGGGGGACAAUGUCUGACGGGGAGUUUGACUGGGGCGGUCGCCUCCGAAAGAGUAUCGGAGGCGCUCAAAGGUUCCCUCAGAACGGUUGGAAACCGUUCGAAGAGUGCAAAGGCAGAAGGGAGCUUGACUGCGACACCGACGGGUGGAGCAGAUACGAAAGUAGGACUUAGUGAUCCGGUGGUAUAAAGUGGGAUUGCCAUCGCUCAACGGAUAAAAGCUAUCCUGGGAUAACAGGCUUAUCACUCCCAAGAGUUCACAUCGACGGAGUGGUUUGGCACCUCGAUGUCGGCUCAUCGCAUCCUGGAGCUGUAGCAGGUUCCAAGGGUUGGGCUGUUCGCCCAUUAAAGCGGUACGCGAGCUGGGUUCAGAACGUCGUGAGACAGUUCGGUCCCUAUCCGGCGUGGGCGUAGGAUAUUUGAGAGGAGCUGUCCUUAGUACGAGAGGACCGGGAUGGACAAACCUCUGGUGUAUCUGUUGUUUUACCAAAGGCAUGGCAGAGUAGCCAAGUUUGGCAGGGAUAAACGCUGAAGGCAUCUAAGCGUGAAGCCCCCCUCAAGAUAAGAUAUCCCAUCUUCGGAGUAAGACCCCUUGAAGACUACAAGGUUGAUAGGCUUCAGGUGUAAGUGUGGUAACGCACUCAGCUGAGAAGUACUAAUAGGUCGAGGACUUACC